GCGGGCGUAGCUUAGUUGGCUUAAAGCACUGCCUUGUCAAGGCAGGGAUCGCCGGUUCGAAUCCGGUCGCCCGCG
rnacentral:tRNA from 1 species